GAUGAACGCUGGCGGCGUGCUUAACACAUGCAAGUCGAACGAAGCACUUUUACAGAUUUCUUCGGAAUGAAGUUUUAGUGACUGAGUGGCGGACGGGUGAGUAACGCGUGGGUAACCUGCCUCACACAGGGGGAUAACAGUUGAAAACGGCUGCUAAUACCGCAUAAGCGAACAGUACUGCAUGGUACGGUGUGAAAAACUCCGGUGGUGUGAGAUGGCCCCGCGUCUGAUUAGCUAGUUGGCAGGGCAACGGCCUACCAAGGCGACGAUCAGUAGCCGACCUGAGAGGGUGACCGGCCACAUUGGGACUGAGACACGGCCCAAACUCCUACGGGAGGCAGCAGUGGGGAAUAUUGCACAAUGGGGGAAACCCUGAUGCAGCGACGCCGCGUGAGUGAAGAAGUAUUUCGGCAUGUAAAGCUCUAUCAGCAGGGAAGAUAAUGACGGUACCUGACUAAGAAGCUCCGGCUAAAUACGUGCCAGCCGCCGCCGUAA
rnacentral:rRNA from 1 species